rnacentral:lncRNA from 10 species
UCAGCGAGACUCCGUGGGCGUGGGACCCUCCGAGCCAGAAGUGACUCUCCAGGGGAGCUAAAAUCCAUGUAUUUGGGCACACACUUGAACAAUAUUGCUAGAGAAAUUUAAGCAAGAGCACAAAGUUUUGCCAGGACGAUUAAAUAUCAUUGAUGCUUCUGGUCUACAAUUAGUCAGAGAAGAGAUUAAAAAAAUGAUGAGUAUUCAAGAAGGAAAGUGUUUGCUUUAACAUAUGAAGAAAAGGAGCUUCAGAGUGGUGAUUAACCCCAGAAUUGUGUGGAACGGAUAUGGAAACAAGACCACAGGAGCAUCGAGAACUGAGCAGAACUGAAGGUGACAUGAAAAUCAGCUGCAAGAUUCACCUCAGGGUGAUAAUGGGCUGCAGGUGGCUGCAGGAAUCCCGGGACAUUCUAGGCACUGCCAUAUUUUCUUAGGGGCCAGUAAGGAUGGCUAUCAUCAGAUGUACCUGAUGAUACAAACAUGGGCUGUCUUGCCUUCUAGUAUUCAUUCUUGAUGAUUGCAUCCAGAGCUCACUUUGGAGGUGCAGAUCAACUCUUCUUCAGGCUCAUCCAUGCGACUUGAGUGGGCUCUCAUCCCCAUUCCCAGGGGCUUAUGACAAUCAAGGUUUCCACUCCUCCAUGGUCUCAAUGGUUUUUCUCCCCAUGGGAAGCACAUAAUCCCAUUAGAGGCCACGGGAAGCUUUUUUGUUGGGCUUUGAGGGAAAAAAGGCUUUUGCAGCCAAUGAAUCGAUCAAUGUGUACUUCAACCUGGAUUGUAUGUAUGCAUCUCCUAGAUUGGGCGGAUGAUGAAGUGAGGCUGGAAGUGCUGAGCAUCUUCCUACCUGGGAUGACUGGGCUGAGCAGGAAGCCUACCCCGGGGUUCCAGCCAAGUUGGAGCCUGUGAGUGUGUGGUGUAGUUUAACGCCCUGAUUAAAUCACUAGGAAGCCAUUUCUCUCUCUCCUCCCAGACCAGAUCAGACAAUAUGUUCCCUUAUUUCUACUAAAGCCCCAAUUGGAUUUUGUGUCUUUUGAUACUGAAAGAAUCUUACCACAAAUAAAAUAAUUUGUCAUGUGGCUCCUACAUAUUUAUUCAGUUACAUAAACUAACUAAAUAAAUGAAUAAACUGUCAAUAAUGGUAGUUCCUCAUCUAUGAAUGACUCUUUACAAAGCCUAUCUCGCUUAAUAGUCAUAAUAAAUACUGAAGUAGAUACUAUUUAUACCUUUUUUUUAAAAGGAAUUAAAUAUUUUCAGGGUUAUACAAAGCAUGAGUAUUGUGGGUACAAAUUCAAGCUUUCUAACUCAAAUUUGAAGACUUAUCCCCAGGAUACUUUUACAUCUUUAGCUAGUACCAUGUAUACCUCAAAAGCUUACAUUAUUUUUCACAUGUGUUAGGUUUUGAGGGAUAAUCAAUAAGGAGGGCAUACUUUCAGGCUUCUUAUUUAUAACUGUGAAAUUUAGAAAUUGAUGGAGUAGCAGAUUUCUCGGUAGGAGACAGCUGUUUUAAAAUGCCCCAUGUUUUUAUUAAAGUAAAAAUCUCAAAAAUUGUCUUUUAAAAAGUGGCUCUGGCCAAUCUUAGAUAAAACAUCAUUUACUAGACUUAGGAAUUUCCUGUAGUAAAUUUCAGAUUUACUUUUCGGUCUCACAUCAUCAAAGAGAUCAUAACCCUUUGUGCAAUUAUGGUCUUGAACCAAGGCCUAUUCUCUAGGUCACUGCUGUCAGGACUUCAAGAUAAUUGUUUCCAUUGCAGGAUUUGAUUUUUAAUUCCCCGGAUGUUCUUGACGUGGUUCAGUUCUUCAGGAAAUCAUCACCCUCAUGAGCCCUCCCUGCCACUUGCAGAUAGGGCUUUCUCCCGGUAAGUUCUGGAGUCACGGCAGAGCUCAAUAAGUCUGAUUGGGACCUCCUAUGAUUAU